AAUAUAAAAUAUCUUCUUCAACUCCUUCUCCCCAUUAUCUCUAUUUUUUCUCCACGAUCUUGAGUUUUAACAAAGUGUUACUAAUAUAAUUCUCAGUUAAUCAAAAAUUCAUAUUCAUACUUUCCUCUAAUUGCUUUGUCCUCUGUUCAAAACUCAUAUAUUCUAAAAUCUAAUCAAUGGAAAAGGGAGAAAGCGAAGGAGACGAAGUUGAGUCAAAAGAAAAACGAAGGAUAAGAAACUGUUGACAAAAAGGAAGAUGGAUGGGAGGCCCAUGAAACAAAAAAAAAUUCUCCAAUCAAGGAUUCCUGCACAUUCAAUCGCACAGGUAGGACUUUAAUUUCGUCUUUUGCUAUGCGUGAGAAGAACAAGACCAAAUGGAACAACAACAACAACCACAAGGUGGGAAGACUACAAGUACAGUUGCAGCAAGAGAGAGAUAGGAAAUUAGUCCUGGAAUCAAAACUCAACGUGUCAAAAUGAAAUCAACCUAUUGCAGAAACAAUUUGAUAAAAAUGUUGCUCUUCAUCAAAUUAUAAGUAUGAUUUGUCUUUUUGUACUUGAAUUCUUCUUCAUAAUAUUUAUUCUUU